rnacentral:lncRNA from 1 species
UGCCUCAGGUUAAUUUAAAUUCUUUAAGAGUUGCAACAACAGCAACAAGCAAGAAGGGCACCAUUAAAUGAAUAUUAUACACAUAAAGCAACAACAGAAUAAAAAACCAAAAUAUGAACACCAGCAACUAAAACAGGAACCAUUAAAUGAAUAUUAUAUACGUAAGUACAAUUUGAUUGAAUAAAAAACAGCGUCAGCGAUGCCUAUGAAAUGAAGAUUGCUGUUAUUUUAUAUGUAAAAUGAUAUGGAGAAUGUCAUCGAGAUGUCAUUCCAAGCCAACUGGACGCCGUGUUUUUUCGAUCAUACAGUAUUAUUAUACACAUAAAUAGUAAUAUUAUACACAUAAACAUCCCUUGAUAGAGAUCAACAUUUUGUAGAGCAAUAACAGCAUCAAAUAAUGGAAAUAAUGGACCUUAUUGCACAAAUCAAAAACAAAAUUUCAGCAUUACUACUUGAUUGGUUAUAUCAAUAAAAGAAAUUGAGUUUAUCAGUCUAGAUCCUACAAGCAAGCAGAUCUAUCACAUAAUUUUAAAUGAAGAUUUAUCUAUCAUAGUAAUUUAUUCUAAUAACGAAAAAAAACUUUGGAUCAAAAAAAUAUUUUCUUCUGAUGAGGUUUAUGAAUAUUAAAGUCUGUUGAAGUUUGGCCAUUAUGUGUUGGUAUACAAUUUAUUUAUGAUGUUACAGUAGUUAAACCAUCCGAGUACGAAACAUGUUUAAAAUCCACUAUUCUUAAUGAAUGGAAACUACCAACUUGAGAGGAAGCUAAGAGAAAGGUUCUAUUGGGUGGACUACAAGGAAAAGGGAUAUACAUGAGGAUCUGGAAGGGCUAUAACAUUACGUCUCAAGCCAUGGGACAAUAGGAAAC